rnacentral:misc_RNA from 1 species
AAGUCGUAACAAGGUUUCCGUAGGUGAACCUGCGGAAGGAUCAUUACCUAGAAUUGACUCCAGUUAAUCCUACUGGUUUCAACUUGUUUCUACCCCAAUUGUGAAUUGUUUCCGCGCCGGUUCGUUUGGACUGGUAGCAUUCUCAACUACGUGAGUGUUACUAAGAUUUUUUUUCCUUGUGCGUGAACGUUUUGAAAACGUCCCCGUCUAUUGAUCGGCUAUGCAGCUGUAUUAUACAUAAAACUUUCAGCAACGGAUCUCUUGGCUCUC